GCCCCCCCUAGUCUCACACCUUCAGAAAAGUUGUCUCGGCUGGCUGGCCUCCGGAAGUCUCUCCUCAGGUUUCCCCUAGUUACCUGACGCCUCAGGCUCGACGGGAAGGAGGCGGCCGCGAGUGCGGGAGGGAGAGGCAUGUCUGGUACCUCAGGUACUUUCCGAAAUGAUCUUCUGACACCAGAACUCCGAUUUAAGCCUUGUGCAACACCUUUCCCAGGGCCCAGUGGUGCUGCGUCAUCUGUUGCAAUCAGCUGCCGAGGCUUAACGACUGGUAUUCCUAUGAAAAAGCAAGCACACCAGUUGUUGUCCUCUCUCUGAAGCUUCAGCUAUCUCUGGGGCUGCUACCCCAGUCUUCUGGAUCUCCACCAUCAAAGUUCUCACCAGUAGUCACCAGUUUGGACUUAUCUUCUUCAUCACCAACCUCAUCAUCUUCCACACUUCGGCCAGGAAAGAAAAAGCCCAUUAUUCUAUGGAAGAACUGGUGUGUCAGCUGGAUGGUGAGAGGCACCACAUUUACCUAAAGAGGAAAAAGGCUGAAGAAGCAAUUAAGCUCAGACAUCAUCCCUCAGUUUACCUACCCCGAAUGUAGCAUAAUAACACACAGAUAGCUUUUGAGUGCCCUUUGUUCCUGGGUCCCCAAAGGACUGUUUACUAACCUCAAAGUGUUCCUUAACAGAAAUACCCCCAACAGGGGGCCGGACUUUGCUGAAGAGGCGGAGGGCUAGCUGUCGCCCAGAUUGGCAGGAGCUCUGGGGCCGUAGGACUACCUGUAAGAUAAAGAAUGAUAAAUCUAUCCACAAAUCCCUUCAGACUAAGAGGAAAAGCAAGUCUUGCUAAGUUAGGCAAGCUUUCAACCUCUCAGAUCAUCACAAUAUUUCCCAUAGAGCGUUUAUGGGGAAGGGCCAUUCCAAAUGCCCUGUGUUAAGGAACCAUGAAAAUGGGGCAGGAAUGGGGAAAUAAGACUUGCCUUAUAGACAGCAUUGGGGAGGAGGUUGUUCAUAGUGAACCAGCCCAACUCCAGAAGAUGUUCUGCUGUGUCAUCAGACUUAUUCACCUAUAAAGAGAGAUUUUCCCUUCACCUAUAAACACAGAUUCCCCACCCCACCCCACACUAUCAUAAGUCUUUCUCAGGAGAUUGCUGGAGAAUUGCUACAUAUCCUGUUUUCAGGUUUUUGAUGUUUAAUCCCAACCUUUGGUAUCCCUUUCAUUUUCAUACAGUCAAUUCACCCUUUAAUCCACUGUUUCUCAUGGGCACUACUAAUAAGAACGCUAAGUACCAGUAAUCUUCCCAGUCACUGUGAUAGUCAAAAAUGGCCUCACUCAUUUCCAAACUUCCAAGGGGGAAGGAGUGUAGAAUAAUGAAUCGUGUCCUCUCCUCCAUGCCAUUGGUUAUUUAUUGCAGGAAAGCUGAAUGUCAGUAUAGAAUUAAUUCUAUUCCAAGCUGGACUUGGAAGAUUACUUCCCUCUGGGCCGUAUUUCUAGGGAUAAUCUUAUUCAAUGCAAGAAGCAUUUGAUCCAGCUCAUCUGUAUCUUUAUUAUUUAAUAUUACAAACAGUUGUAUCUAAGGGGAACUCUGCUCAUGUGUCUAUCAUCAUUAAUAAUUAUUAAUUAGUAAUCAUAAUAGUUAGCCUCUUUGUUUCUCUGAGUUACAACUUCUAAGAUAGGUCAAUGUCUCUCAAUUACAGCUGCCUUUAUGCAAUUGUAUAAACCUGAUACCUUGCUGUAGAGGAACCGCUGCAGCUCUAGUUCUGCAAUCCCUAGCUGUCCAUCUUCCUCUGUCAGACGCCAUCGUGCCUGAGCAAAGUAGAACUCAGUGCGACGAACCACACUCACAUCUUCUUGUUGCUUUCGCAACUCCAUCUUAUUGGCCUGCUGCAACUGGAAAUCCUUAAAACACCUAUAAAUGAACAGGAAGGCCAGAGCCAAUAAAGACGGACAACCAUUCUGACACGGUUGCCAUGAGGUAAAGCGAGUGAAUUCUUUUGACUCUCUCUGCCAAGCUGAAGUCAAAGUGAGUAAUAGAAUGAGUGAUAUGAAGACCAUAAGCAGAUCUGCCAAGUCACAAAAAAAUUCAUAAGGGAAAGGGAAGAUCAAAGUCCCCCCACCAAAUUCAGUGAAGGAAAUCAUAAGCAAAAUGAAAAGACAACCUACUGAAAGGGAGAAGAUAUUUGCAAAUGAUACAUAAGGAACUCCUAUAAC